UCUGCAGUGGCGGGGCCGUUGGUGAUGCAUCCUCCGACGCUGCGGUGAAGGCGGUAGUCCCUCCGGCAGUAGCAGUGUGAGCAGCAGGCGGCCCGGGCUUGGCGGUAAUGAAACCAAACGUGGCUGCAGGCAGCCCGUACAAGGACUGGAACCCCGGCACAAAGCUGCUACUGCCACCGCCACCGCCAUACCAAUCUUCUCUUUCGUC
rnacentral:lncRNA from 1 species